GCACACAUUUCCUCUGCUCAGAGUCGCCCUCGCAAGCUCUCGUCUCAGUCUCGGCUCACCGCUUUGGGGCCCAACUAGACGCAGACACAUUUUUUUGAUCAGCAAGUAAAAAGUUAAACGACAUUUAUGCGACACUUGGGCGACCGCUCCAGCUCGGAAAGUGUAUUGUCGCGGCGAAAUCACAGUUUUAGAUCAUUAUUAAGUUCCAAAUGAUGAAUUUAAAUAGUUGUGCUCAACUCUUAGAAGAAAUAGUACAACCGAUGAUUGAUGAGCAGCUAAGCUUCAAUUUAGGAUCAAAAACGCCAGGAUUAAUCAAUUAUUUUAAAAAUUACAUUAUAAAGAAAAAAAAGGUUUUUGCUUUUAUUUUUCUGAAAUUUUAGUUUCUCUCAUAGGGUUAAAUUUUUUAUUGAUUGUUUUUUCAUAUGAGAUGUGGUUUUGAACGAUGAGUGGGCAAGCUUGAGUUUUAGAUAGGUAACGUCAGCAUUCAUAAAUUAUUUUAAAAAAAAAUAAUCAGUAUUAUAAUAUUCAUUCAAAAACAAAGUAAU